CUUCACCGAGCCGAGCAGCAGCGGGCGGCCUUCGGGGCGGUCCUGGCCGUACGUGGCAAGCAGUGCCUGCGCCUC
rnacentral:antisense_RNA from 1 species